rnacentral:rRNA from 1 species
GACGAACGCUGGCGGCGUGCUUAACACAUGCAAGUCGAGCGAUGAAGCACCUUCGGGUGUGAAUUAGCGGCGAACGGGUGAGGAACACGUGAGAAAUCUGCCUUCAACUCUGGGAUAACUCCGGGAAACCGGGCUAAUACCGGAUAUGAGCCUUGAUCGCAUGAUCGAGGCUGGAAAGUUUUUCGGUUGAAGAUGAUCUCGCGGCCUAUCAGCUUGUUGGUGAGGUAAUGGCUCACCAAGGCGACGACGGGUAGCCGGCCUGAGAGGGCGACCGGCCACACUGGGACUGAGACACGGCCCAGACUCCUACGGGAGGCAGCAGUUGGGGAAUAUUGGGCAAUGGAGGAAACUCUGACCCAGCGACGCCGCGUGCGGGAUGAAGGCC